GGGGAUUUAGCUCAGCGGCAUAAGUACCUGCCUUGCAAGCAGGCGGUCCUAGUUCAAUCCCUG
rnacentral:tRNA from 1 species